AGCUGGGGGGGGAAGCGGGCACGCGGUGCGCUCAGGGGAGGAGGCGGAGCGGAGGUGGAGUGACGGUGACUCUGGAUCCAGACACGGCUCAUCCCCAGCUCGCCCUGUCUGAGGAUCGGAGACAUGUGAGAUGGGGACACGCCCGGCAGGAUCUGCCCGACAAUCCUGAGCGAUUUGACACUGGAUCAGUCAUAACCCUGAGAGGGGGGAGGGGGAGCAGAUGUGAUUUUUGAAGAUAGUCAUGGAAUUUUUUUUCUCCUGAACUGGUUGUGUCACUGCACUCUAAUGAGGAUAUGCAUGAAGUUGGAACAGCCCGCCAACACAGACAGCCGAGGAGUGAUUUUGGUCUGUGUGUGCCAAGCUACCAGAGCCAGCAACAUGGAGAAGGCACCUUUUGAAGAAAUCCUCUCGCUUGCACUUUCACUCCUGCAUCAGAAAAAGGACAGAGCUUCCUUGAAGUGCUGGUGAACAUUUGAGAGGACUUUUCUGCCCCACCAAAGGUACCUGAUGGACUGUAUGAUGGAGCAGGAGGAGAAGGAGGACCCUGGCAUGGCAGACUCACACUGGCCUAUGCUGCUCAGUAGAACUGGCAGAGCUGCUGGUAUUCCCUAGGUAGACUGGCACAGGGCCACAAGCACAGACUGGUGAGAUCCCAUCAGCCUGCAGACCUGGGAUGCCCAGCACACAGUCCGGAGCUCAUGCAGGAAAAAAAGGUCUCCUCACGACAUUAUCUAAGGAGGAAGGAGAAGAUCAUCUUCUGUUUUCAGCAGAGGAGAGGAAACUGCUAUAGAAUCCAACUUUAACAAAAACUGACAAAGUCGUCUUUUCCUCUGAAGACAAAACUCCCAGUAUAGCCUGAUCACUAGGAUAGCUGACAAUAAAAAUUCCUAUCAAAUCGUACAUCAGGAAUAAGGAGGUCUGUGUGGGGAAGGGGAUGUGUUCAGUGCUUAAAUUUGUGCCAGGGCACGCCAGCAUUGCGCCCCGGCAUCUCUAGGCUUGGCAGUUUGUAGACCUGGUACCUCUGGGCUUGCUUCAUCAAUUAUGAAUGUAGGAAAAACGCUUGAGCCCCGGAACCUCUUUCAUUACACAUUAAGCACUGGAUGUAUAUAAGAGCAGACCCAUAGAGCAGCAGGUGAAACCGGUGUGGGAAGUUUUGUGCAUCUUUGGCUUCUUCUCCCAGAACUGUGCAAAUAACUGAUUUUUAGGUUUACACCAAAAAUAAAUAAAAAAUAA